ACUCGGGUGUGUGGAGUGGGCCGUGGGCGAGCGGCGAGAAGGGGUACGACGGCGCCAUUGCAAUUGCGACGGAGGGACAGCCGAGAUAAAUGCACAACUGAACUUACUACUCGUCUGCGCUCUCGCGCUCAAUAGGAUCAACAGCUGGCAGCUGGCCAACAGGAAGCCAAUUGCAACACCAGGAAGCUAGUAUUUGCAAGUUGCAGCUUGUAUGCGUAGGAACUAAAAAGCUGGUAUUUGUAACUUGCAGGAUGCAAACAACUCUUAAUGUUCACGUAAUACUCAUGAAACACCGGGACGAUGAUACAACUUCCAUGGCCGGCGUGUCCCUGGGCUGGGCUUAUGAUGCGGACGAGGCGCCACUGUCCAGCAUUACAUCGCCCAACGCGAUCUCGCCUAAAGUGGCGGUCGGCGCGGCCUUGGCCAGCGCGCACAGGGCCGAGCUCGAUGGAAGCCCGACGGACAGUGCAGCAGGGGUGAGCCUGAGGGCCUGGACAGGGUAUAGGGUGGUCGUGGCCAAGACGGUGGCCAGUCGUCCAUGGCGGCGUGGAGACAGAACGCGCACACAAGAUAAUUUGGUCUCCUUAGGUACAAAAUACAGGGAAAGAAGUAAUAAAAGGAAGAUUAUAUAGUAAA